rnacentral:rRNA from 1 species
UGUUUCGGCUAGGGGGCCAUCCCGGCUUACCAACCCGAUGCAAACUGCGAAUACCGGAGAAUGUUAUCACGGGAGACACACGGCGGGUGCUAACGUCCGUCGUGAAGAGGGAAACAACCCAGACCGCCAGCUAAGGUCCCAAAGUCAUGGUUAAGUGGGAAACGAUGUGGGAAGGCCCAGACAGCCAGGAUGUUGGCUUAGAAGCAGCCAUCAUUUAAAGAAAGCGUAAUAGCUCACUGGUCGAGUCGGCCUGCGCGGAAGAUGUAACGGGGCUAAACCAUGCACCGAAGCUGCGGCAGCGAACGUAUCACCCAAGACAACUUUACGGAGUUAACGAUUGACGGAGCGAAGCGACGUCAAAGCGUUCAUUAAAGUCGAGUUGGCUUAGGGAUACGUUCGUUGGGUAGGGGAGCGUUCUGUAAGCC